rnacentral:rRNA from 1 species
GUGGAUUAGAUACCCCGGUAGUCCACGCCCUAAACGGUGCACACUAGGUCUUGGCGGAUUCGACCCCACCAGGGCCCCAGCUAACGCGUUAAGUGUGCCGCCUGAGGACUACGGUCGCAAGACUAAAACUCAAAGGAAUUGACGGGGGCCCGCACAAGCGGUGGAGUAUGUGGCUCAAUUCGAUGCAACGCGAAGAACCUUACCUGGCCUUGACAUGCAUUAGACCGGACCUGAAAGGGUCCUUUCCUUCGGGACUGGUGCACAGGUGCUGCACGGCCGUCGCCAACU